GAUGAACGCUGGCUACAGGCUUAACACAUGCAAGUCGAGGGGAAACGACGGGGAAGCUUGCUUCCCCGGGCGUCGACCGGCGCACGGGUGAGUAACGCGUAUCCAACCUGCCUCUGACUGAGGGAUAACCCGUCGAAAGUCGGCCUAAUACCUCAUGGCAUCGUCUGCGGGCAUCCAACGACGAUUAAAGAUUUCAUCGGUCAGAGAUGGGGAUGCGUCUGAUUAGCUUGUUGGCGGGGUAACGGCCCACCAAGGCGACGAUCAGUAGGGGUUCUGAGAGGAAGGUCCCCCACAUUGGAACUGAGACACGGUCCAAACUCCUACGGGAGGCAGCAGUGAGGAAUAUUGGUCAAUGGGCGAGAGCCUGAACCAGCCAAGUAGCGUGCAGGAUGACGGCCCUAUGGGUUGUAAACUGCUUUUAUGCGGGGAUAAAGUGAGGGACGUGUCCUUCAUUGAAGGUACCGCAUGAAUAAGGACCGGCUAAUUCCGUG
rnacentral:rRNA from 1 species